UUGAAUGGGCAUAGACUGUCCUAGUAGGACAUCAAUUCUAGCCAAAGUUGCCCACGGGAACCACCCACCACUGCUUGCUUUGCUUGAAAGAAAACAAGGGCUGGGAGACAGCUGCCUCUGAUUUUACUUCUUGCCUUAGAAAGGUUCCAGCUAAUUUUGUGUAACAUAGUUGUGCCGGCUCUUCCAUGAAAAUUUUGGCUUUUUCUUUGAAGAAUCCUCAGUCCUUCAGAAAUAUUAAUUUCUAAACUGACUGUUCUGCAUAUACUUUCCCCUCUUUUUUGGUUAUUUAAUUCCUGUUAUAAAACUCAAGGGCUGCUACUGGUCUUACAUUUAAUUUAGUGCAUUUUAUUUUAUGAGAUUUCUGUGGCUUCUUGUUACAGGACUUUGUAUGAGAUUUUGUGGAGAGGUCCUGGUUAACUUUAAAGAACUCCUUGGGUUAGUUGGCUGAGAACCAUUGGCUUUGGUUGGCUGCUGAGACUUGUGGGAGGACCAUUUGAAAGCGCCUACUUCUCCAAGGUACAUGCCGAACCACUUGCUGUCAGGACAAGCAAGCAUGCUGUUCUCCUAGAACACACUGCACUUGACUUGAUGAGGCAGGAAGACUGAGAUGACAACUAUACUUGAAUUCAUGCCAUUCCCACUGGUCACCAGUGACCACACCCUCCUAGAUGGAGUCUCGCACUGUCGCACAGGCUGGUGUGCAGUGGCACAAUCUCAGUUCGCUGCAACCUCCGCCUCCCGGGUUCAAGUGAUUCUCCUUCCUCAGACUCCUGAUUAGCUAGGAUUACAGGCACCUGCCACCACGCCCGGCUAAUUUUUUGUAUUUUGAGUAGAAACGGGGUUUCACUAUGUUGGCCAGGCUGGUGAUGAAUUCCUGACCUCAUGAUCUGCCUGCCUCGGCCUCCCAAAGUGCUGGGAUUACAGGCGUGAGUCAUGGUGCCCUGCCUGAUGUGUGCCUUUGUAGGUGCUCUGUGUAGUUGCUAAACCAGCUUGCUAUUUCCCAGGUCCUCCUUUCUAGGUUGGCUUUCCUCUUGCCUUAGGAACCACUCUGUUUUAGAAACACGGCAGAAUUAAGAACAAAAUGAAAUUAGAAUUAACAUAGAAAAAAGGUCAAAUAAUGAGAAGUCUUCUGUACUAAUUACCUGAAAGGUCACUUUGCUGAGCCUCCAUUUCAUUUAUGUAAAGAAGGAAUAUAAUAAUGUCUACCUUUACCUAGUUCACAGCUUUAUGGUAAAGUUCUUAUGAUGUUAUUAUAGGGAACAUGUCUUUCAAUUGUAAAGUGCUUGCUUGGAAGAUAUAUAUAUAUAUAUAUAUAUAUAUUUUUGAGAUGGACUCUCACACUAUUGCCCAGGUUGGAGUGCAGUGGCGCGAUCUCAGCUCACCAAAACUUCUACCUCCCGGGUUCAAGCGAUUCUCCUGCCUCAGCCUCCCUAGUAGCUGGGAUUACAAACGUGUGCUACCAUGCCUAGCUAAUUUUUUUUUUUUUAGUAGAGACAGUGUUUUGCCAUGUUGGCCAGGCUGUUCUCAAAUUCCUAGCCUCAAGUUAUCCACCCACCUCAGCCUCCCAAACUGCUGAGGUUACAGGUGUGAGCCACCAUGCCCAGCCUGAUAUUACUAUUAAAUAGCUAUGAGCUAGGCUUUCAGUAAAGUAUCCCCUGGAUGGCAAACCAGUAAGAAGAGCUUAUAAAUUUCACUUCUUCUGGGUUACAAUCUCUUAUCUUUCUGGAAUGGUAAAGCACAAUGGUUGAAAUUAGACCCCUUUAAAAAAAAAUCCAAUGCUGUACAUUGCUUUAUCAUAACAUGUAUCCCUGCGUGGCACUUCUCAAGAAUGGCAUGGCAGGGAGGGAUGUGAUAUCUUAAGCAUGUUUUCUCAUUAUGCACUUGAACACUGCGCAUUGGUUUAUACUUAGUUGUUAGCAUUUUCACUAAAAUAAUAAUUUCUCUGCUCCUUCCUCACCACCACUCCCCAGUUCCUCCUCUCCUCUCAUCUCUUAAUGAGGAGGCAUAAAUAGGACAGAAGAUGAGUAGUGAGGAAGGUGAUAACAAGGAGGAACACAUAUUUUAUGAAUUGGUGAGUCAAUUUUUUGAGAUUGUCAUGGCCUAUGAGAGUAAUGACCAAAUGGAAAUUCUUUGUUUUGUUUUGUUGGAGACAGGGUCUUGCUCUGUCACCCAGGCUGGAGUGCAAUGGCCCAAUCAUGGCUCACUGCAGCCUCAACUGCAGGGCUCAAGCGAUCUUCCCACCUCAGCCUCCUGAGUAGGCGGGACUACACGUAAGCACCCCGAUGCCAAGCUGAUUUUCUUUAUUUUUAGUAGAGAUGGGAUCUCGCUAUGUUACCCAGGCUGGUCUCAAACUCCUGAGCUCAGCACAGUCCUCAUGCCUUGGCCUCCCAAAGUGCUGGGAUUAUAGGCAUGAGCCACCAUGCCUGGCUGAAAUUGUUUUGAAAUAAUUUGUUCAUGAGCCUGUCUUCCCCAGUAAAUUAUAUGCACUUCUAUGGGGGAUGUGUCAUUUCUUGUACAUUUAAAUCUCCCCAGUAUUCAUUAGGAGAGUCUGGCACUUAAUAUGUGCUCAUUGGAUGGCUGUUGAACUGAACCUAAAUGGCAUUUGACAUGACUUGAUUUAGGACAUAACUUCGGAAAAUACUGCUCUGUGUUCAACAAGGACUAGCCAAAAUGUAAAACUGGAGAAAAUAACACUCUAGCCUUUUGAUAUCAUCCUCAGUGCCCCCAAACAACACAGAGUUGAUUCCUAUUGCUGAAUCACCUACAGAAACCUCACCUCUGUUAUUAUAACAAUAGUGACAACAUAUUUAUUGAAUAAUUACUAUGUGCCAGGUCCUGUCUAAGUGACUUAGAUGCAUUCAUUCACUUUAUCAUCAGAGGAGCAGCAACACUGUGUGCUCUUAUUAUUUUCAUUUUAUAUAUGUAGAAACUUAUAUAGAUGGAAACUUAUAUACCCUUCCCAAGGAGAUGGAUAUUACUUCCUCCAAAUCACAAAUCUAGUAUGUGACAGAGCAGAGAUCCAACCCAGAAAAUCUAACUUCUGCAUCCAUUUUCUUAAUCACUACACCAUCUUUCCUCUUUGCACUGAAUAGUUCUGCAGACAGCAGAUCCUUGAUGGGAAGUUGUGGUAAAAGGGGCAGUAGAGCCAGAUGGGCUCAAGGAACAGAAGAAAGGCAGUGCCCUGUGUCUGCCCUGGCUCCCUGUGGGGUGGGGCCAGUCUGAGUACUUCCCUCCCUGCGGCAUAUUUCUCAAUGUUGGUGACCAGACAUGGCUCUGCUCUAGCUCAAUGGAUUAGCACAGUGAUUUCAGUUAAAACCACCAGCACUACCAGCCAGGCUGGCUUUCCUUCCCCACACGCUCUUCUUCAAUUGAUGCAGACAUCAUUGAAAGAUGGCAUUAUGUGAAUAAUACAGAAUACAAACAAGAAACAUUACAGCAUCUGAUAAAAUAGAAAGGCUGGCUUCAACCAGACCAGCUGGAGCUCAGUGAUGAUUGCUGCCACUUAAUCCCUAGAGGUACAGAGUUUUGUAGAAUUAAGGAUCCUCCUGAAACUGUUGUUGAAACAAGUCUCUCAGUAGUCCAGACUUUCUGUAGCCACUUACUGAAAACAGGAAGGUAUUAUGAAAAGCCAUUGGAGGAAAGGGUGUCUGUGAAUGACUUCCAGCAGUGAAUGAAUGAUUAGUCAACCCUGGACAUAAAACUCUGCAUAUGCCCUGAGUUCUUUUUAUUGAUAGCCCAAUUCGUGUUCUAAUCUUGUAUGUGGAAACCUGGGGAAAUAGUGAAAGAUGCUCAUUAAAACCUUAGGCUUCUUCUUUGAAUGUGCUAUGAAAUAAGUGGAGUAUUUAGUCUACUUUCGUAGAAAUAAAUGGGCAAACAAAAGAAAGCAAUUCCAUUUCCAUAAUUUCCAUAUAGGAGAUCUCCAUUUUGUAAACAGGUUGCUUUUCUAAAGGUCUAGUGUAACUCUAUGAUGAUUGUUAUGAAUUCAGAAAAAGUUUUCCCGAGAAAGAAUAUUGCAAGUGUGUAGAUAAGAUCCCAGGCUAACACACUAAAGGUUACAUAGAUACUAAACUGCUAUAUAUCUGUAAUGGAAAAAAGUAUAAAAUAAU